ACUGCCAUCGCUUCCUGUGUGUCCUCAGGUCACCGCUUGCUCUAGUUCCCAGGCUUUGGCCCCCAGUGGACGAGAAUCGCUGAGCCUGCGGGGCUGGACGCUGAGCGCCUAGGCCAGCACCUAGGCGGGCGCGGAGCUAUGUGGGCCAGGGUUCGCACGGGCCGGGUGGAGGCUUGAGCGGGGACCCCCGAGCGUGAGCCCCUGAGCCGGCGGCCCUGCGGCCAGGGGAACCGGGCGGGAGGUGGCGAAGGUGGCAGCGGAGGCGGAGGCGAAGGGGCGGCGGGAACCGGGCCUGGCCCGUGUGUGUCCUGGGGGCCUGGCCCAGGCCGCCGCUGUACGGUGAGUCCCAGGGAGGCGGAUCUGGGCCCCGGGAAGGACACCCUCCUGGAUUUGCCCCGUAGGCCCGGCCCGGGCCCCUCAGGAGCAGAACAGCCUUGGUGAGGUGGACAAGAGGGGACCUCGCGAGCAGACGCGCGCCAGCGACAGCAGCCCCGCCCCGGCCUCUGGGGAGCCCCAGGAGGGUCUACCAGCCACAGUCUCUGCACGUUUCCAAGAGCAGCAGAAAAUGA
rnacentral:lncRNA from 1 species